rnacentral:rRNA from 1 species
UACGUAGGGGGCAAGCGUUAUCCGGACUUACUGGGUGCAAAGGGAGCGUAGACGGCAUGGCAAGUCAGAUGUGAAAGCCCGGGGCUCAACCCCGGGACUGCAUUUGAAACUGUCAGGCUGGAGUGCAGGAGAGGUAAGCGGAAUUCCUAGUGUAGCGGUGAAAUGCGUAGAUAUUAGGAGGAACACCAGUGGCGAAGGCGGCUUACUGGACUGUAACUGACGUUGAGGCUCGAAAGCGUGGGGAGCAAACAGG